GAGGGGCGGAGCUGUUCCCUUGUUAGGAUAAGCUCAGAGAGUUUUCCCUGGUCUUCGCUUGCAUGCAGCUGAGGAUGAAGGGAAAAUCUUCAAGACCAAGAUAAUCACGAUGGUGUGAUCAUUCACCAGAGCCAGACAUCCUGGAAUGUGAAGUCAAGUGGGCCUUAGAAAGCAUCACUACGAACAAAGCUAGUGGAGGUGAUGGAAUUCCAGUUGAGCUAUUUCAAAUCCUGAAAGAUGAUGCUGUGAAAGUGCUGCACUCAAUAUGCCAGCAAAUUUGGAAAACUCAGCAGUGGCCACAGGACUGGAAAAGAUAUUCAUUACCACUAGAAGUGGGUCACAGAGAGUUGGACUGUGAAGAAAGCUGAGAGCCAAAGAACUGAUGCUUUUGAACUGUGGUGUUAGAGAAGACUCUUGAGAGUCCCUUGGACUGCAAGGAGAUCUAAUCAGUCCAUCCUAAAGGAGAUCAGUCCUGGGUGUUCAUUGGAAGGACUGAUGCUGAAGCUGAAACUCCAAUACUUUAGCCACCUCCCGUGAAG
ensembl:lncRNA